ensembl:lncRNA
GCUUAUUAUUGUGAUUAAUAUUAUUAUUUACAUUUUUAUCGUUGUUUCACGUAUACAUGCUUAUUUUCCUUUGUGCAAAAAAAGUGUGGGUUUGAUUGCUAGUAUGUUUGGUUUGGAAAGUGACGAACUGUGUGCCUUCUAGAUGAAUGUUGGUGUGUAUCUAUCCACCACGACAAUGAUGAUGAUGAUGAUUAUCAGGGUUUGUGUGGAAUAUUGACAGCAUCCUUUCUACUCUCUCUGCAACCAGGCUGGACCUGAGUGUGGGGGAAGAGGGGGAAAAGAGAGAGACCGACCAACAGAGAAAGAUGUGUUUCAGGUGCAAAAGAAAAGCAAAGCAGGAUCGGUUAUAUUAUGUAAAAUGUAUGAAUGAAUAGCUUUUUCUAUAUUACAAGACCAGGUAUGGCAAAUGACAAAGACUUAUGUAUUAUUAGUACAUUUUAAUACAUCCUAAAAACCACAAGUUAAUUUGACUCUUUGAUAUUAUGCUUGUGUGACAGAAUGGUGUUGUGUUAUGCAGUGGAGCAGUUCUCUAAGAAAUGCUUUAUUUUCUCAUAUUUCUGAACUAUAUGCUUAUUGACAAUCAGCCGUUGUCUGCAAUCAGUCUUUUAUCUUCACGUUAAUAGCUGUUCCACAGUAUUCUAUACUACUGACUGGGAUGGGUUCUACCUUAUGUUAGUUCACAUACAGUCUGAUUGCAUCCAUAUCUCAAAAAAGAAAAAUAACCUAAUGAUAGGGGCAUAAUGACAAUUGUUGUUAAACGUCAAAAAAAAAAUUUUGCUUUCCUGCAUGACAAAAUCAAAUGAAUUGGAACGUCAUUUUUAAAUGCCUCCUUGUAUAACGGACUGGGCCUCAAAUUCACCUAAUUUGAUCGUCGUUGUAAACACAAGUGGGAUUGCCCAUCCACAUUCACCAGGAUGGACUACUCAGUGAAAAAUAGCUUUAUAAAGAAAGUCAGUUUUGUGGUGUGUGUGAGUGUUUUUUGCGUGUGAUGCGUGCCCUUGAUGUGUUCCCUGCAUCAGAGUUUUCAAAGUGAUGACUGACAAUCUUUGACUGAUUUGAGAUCUUAAAUAGUGACUCACC